rnacentral:lncRNA from 1 species
GGACAAUCGGGAAUAUGUUUGUGGGACAAUUGGGAAGUUUAAAUGUGGGACAAUUGGGAACUGUUUUUAUAAUGAUUAAUUUGUUUUUACAGCGUGUUGCAGUUAGUCAAAGGUUACUAAUCAAUGUAACUUAUAAAAUAUGAACAAAAUCAGAACAAAUAAUAAUAUUUACAUAUUUUAUUUUGCUCAUAGUAGGUACAAUUGAAGUAUCAUAUAAUAUAAUAUGAAGUCUUUUUAAAAAAAAAACACAUUUUUUCAGUCUAAGAUGCAUAUUUUUUUUAAUUAUUUUUUAUUGGCUUUGAACUAGCAGUCAGUACUGCGAGUACUCUCAGAUCUGUACUUAGUGUCUUUGUUGUGGUGAUGUCCCACGCCAGGAGCUUGUAAGUCAGUGGUUGUCGUUUGUUGCCGUGUAACAUAUUUGUUUUUCAUUCAUUAUUUUGUACAUGAAUUAUGCCAUUUGUUUUCUCGUUUUACAUUAGACAUUUUGGGGCCUUUUGUAGCUAUGUGGUAUAGGAUUUGCUCAUUGUUGAAGGCCUUAUGGUGACCUAUAGUUGUUAGUUUCUGUGUCAUUUGCUCUCUUUGGGAUAGUUGUCUCAUUGACAAUCAUACCACAUCUUCUUAUUUCUUAUGGAAGUCUGGCUCUUCUUUAUAAUUGGUGAAGAGUCCUGUUGACUGCAAAAAUAAUGGGAAAAUUGGAAAAACAACUUUUAAUAGUGAUUCUUGGAAAGGCUGAUCUGGAAAAAUUCUAGACAGCAGCAAAUUUAGAGAAAAUAGAU